CAGUAGCCACGGGAAUACGUAGGUGGCAAGCGUUAUCCGGAAUUAUUGGGCGUAAAGCGCGCGUAGGCGGUUUUUUAAGUCUGAUGUGAAAGCCCACGGCUCAACCGUGGAGGGUCAUUGGAAACUGGAAAACUUGAGUGCAGAAGAGGAAAGUGGAAUUCCAUGUGUAGCGGUGAAAUGCGCAGAGAUAUGGAGGAACACCAGUGGCGAAGGCGACUUUCUGGUCUGUAACUGACGCUGAUGUGCGAAAGCGUGGGGAUCAAACAGGAUUAGAGACCCGUGUAGUCCCUGUCUCUUAUAC
rnacentral:rRNA from 1 species